AUUGAACGCUGUCGGCAGGCCUAACACAUGCAAGUCGCACGAGUUGCGGACGGGUGAGUAAUGUCUGGGAACAUGCCCGAUGGAGGGAGAUAACUACUGGACACUGUGGCUAAUACCGUCCCCCAUCGGCUAUGCCCCGAUGGGAUUAGCUAGUAGUGGGGGUAAAGGCUCACCUAGUCGACGAUCCCUAGCUUGACUGAGAGGAGGACCAGCCACACUGGAACUGAGACACGGUCCAGACUCCUACGGGAGGCAGCAGUGGGGAAUAUUGCACAAUGGGCGCAAGCCUGAUGCAGCCAUGCCGCGUGUAUGAAGAAGGCCUUCGGGUUGUAAAGUACUUUCAGCGAGGAGGCGUUACGCGCAGAAGAAGCACCGGCUAACUCCGUGCCAGCAGCCGCGGUAAUAC
rnacentral:rRNA from 1 species